rnacentral:rRNA from 1 species
GGACAACCUACCCUAAGGAGGGGGAUAACCCCGGGAAACUGGGGAUAAUACCCCAUAGACUAGAGAAGCUGGAAUGCUCUCAAGUCCAAAGGUCCGCCGCCUUAGGAUGGGUCUGCGGUCGAUUAGGUUGUUGUUGGGGUAACGGCCCAACAAGCCCGUGAUCGAUACGGGUUGUGAGAGCAAGAGCCCGGAGAUGGAUUCUGAGACACGAAUCCAGGCCCUACGGGGCGCAGCAGGCGCGAAAACUUUACAAUGCGGGAAACCGUGAUAAGGGAACCCCGAGUGCCCGUAAAUUCGGGCUGUCCAUCAGCGUAAAUAACUGGUGAAGAAAGGGCCGGGCAAGACCGGUGCCAGCCGCCGCGGUAAUACCGGCGGCUCGAGUGGUGGCCACUAUUAUUGGGCUUAAAGCGUCCGUAGCUUGGUUGUUAAGUCUCUUGGGAAAUCUACCGGCUCAACCGGUAGGCGUUCAGGAGAUACUGGCAAUCUAGGGACCGGGAGAGGUGAGAGGUACUCCAGGGGUAGGAGUGAAAUCCUGUAAUCCUUGGGGGACCACCUGUGGCGAAGGCGUCUCACUAGAACGGCUCCGACAGUGAGAGACGAAAGCUGGGGGAGCAAACCGGAUUAGAUACCCGGGUAGUCCCAGCUGUAAACGAUGCGCGUUAGGUGUAUCGGUGACCACGAGUCACCGAGGUGCCGAAGGGAAACCGUGAAACGUGCCGCCUGGGAAGUACGGUCGCAAGGCUGAAACUUAA